GACGAACGCUGGCGGCGUGCUUAACACAUGCAAGUCGAACGGAAAGGCCCUGCUUUUGUGUGGUUCUCGAGUGGCGAACGGGUGAGUAACACGUGAGUAACCUGCCCUUGUCUUUGUGAUAACUUCAGGAAACUGGGGCUAAUACCGCAUAGGAUCUCCUGCUGCAUGUUGGUGGUUGGAAAGUUCGGGCGGUUGUGGAUCGAUUCGCGGCUUAUCAGCUUGUUGGUGUGGUAGUGACUGCCCAAGGCUUUGACGGGUAGCCGGCCUGGGCGGCGUGCCGGCGACCUUGGGCCUGAGAGACGGAGCAGUAUCGUACGGGAGGCAGCAGUCGGAAACCUGGCGCAGUGGCGGGACGCGUGAGGCAGAAACGUCGCGUGCGGGAUGCUGGCCUUCGGGUUGUAAACCGCUUUGUACUGUGACGAAGCGUGCGUGACGGUAAUGGGUCAAGAAGCCACGGCUAACUACGUG
rnacentral:rRNA from 1 species